rnacentral:rRNA from 1 species
AACGAACGCUGGCGGCAGGCCUAACACAUGCAUGUCGAACGCUGUAGCCAUACAGAGGGGCAGACGGGUGAGUAACGCGUGGGAACAUGCCCUUCGGUUCGGAAUCACUCAGGGAAACUUGCGCUAAUACCGGAUACGCCCUUAGGGUGAAAGAUUUAUUGCCGAAGGAUUGGCCCGCGUCCGAUUAGCUAGUUGGUGAGGUAAUGGCUCACGAAGGCGACGAACGGUAGGUGGACUGAGAGGAUGAUCAGCCACACUGGGACUGAGACACGGCCCAGACUCCUACGGGAGGCAGCAGUGGGGAAUAUUGGACAAUGGGCGCAAGCCUGAUCCAGCCAUGCCGCGUGAGUGAUGAAGGCCCUAGGGUUGUAAAGCUCUUUCGCCAGGGACGAUAAUGACGGUACCUGGAUAAGAAGCCCCGGCUAACUUCGUGCCAGUCGCCGCAGUAA